rnacentral:rRNA from 1 species
UACGUAGGGGGCAAGCGUUGUCCGGAAUUAUUGGGCGUAAAGCGCGCGCAGGCGGCCGUUUAAGUCUGGUGUUUAAGCCCAAGGCUCAACCUUGGGACGCACUGGAAACUGGGCGGCUUGAGGGCAGGAGAGGGAAGUGGAAUUCCACGUGUAGCGGUGAACUGCGUAGAGAUGUGGAGGAACACCAGUGGCGAAGGCGACUUUCUGGCCUGUAACUGACGCUGAGGCGCGAAAGCGUGGGGAGCACACAGG